ensembl:lncRNA
AGGCAGUGUAUUUUUCUGAAAUAAAAUUAUUUAAAGUACAUCUUGACUCAUCAAGAAACAUGUGUAGUGGGGUGUGUGUCGUGGUUAAAACGUCACCCUUAUUAACUACGUGGCCAAUGGGCUCGCUCCCUACCACAGUACAAUGGUCGUUGAGGCUUCUAAGAAUGCGUCAUGGUCGAAAACCUGCCCCUUUCCUUUCGUUGCUACGGACUACAGCGUGUGACGUUAGGCUACUGAGACUGUGUGCAGGUGUGAUGUGCUGCUCACAAUCAGUGCGCUGUGACGUCAAGGCUCCCAGCUGUGUAGCAUGGUAACUUAACGUAGCUCCGGUCGGAGCGCCAGCUGUCGUCGUCACAACUAUUAAAGACGCUAUCAUGACUUUCGUAUGUACCAUCGUGAGUAUCAUGUCCUCGGACCACGGGCCACAGCGGAUCACAGGAUGUGUGAAACGUAACGAACUCCAAGGUCUGUCUGUGUUUGGUCAAAUGGAUGCACUUCUUCCAGGUCCUCAUUCUCUGCAUCUGGAAUGACUACACACCCUUCUGCAAUUCAGGCUUUCAGUCCCACUGGCAGAUCAUCUUGAUGCAGUGUGCAACAUCAACCUGAACAAAACAAGGUGGCACUUGUUAACACUUUACCAACAUUUGCACCACUGGGACACUUGAAUUCUCAUCCCCUGCCAGAACACCCUGAUAAGAUAUGGCCAGACAUGCCAUUAGGUCUCAGUUUCCUCACCACUGAGCCAGUUGCAUCAAAACUCAGUGGGGUUAGUAGACUUCUUUGAUAAUGACUUGCUGAGUGACCCCAGAAUGACCUUUGGAAUAUCCUUUUAAUACCCCCUGAACCAUUGCAGCACAAAUUAAACUUUUUACAGCACAAACAUUGCUGCUUGGUUCUUGCCUGCUGCUGUUUGGUUAUGUGUUGGUUACUAUCACUGAGAUCUGUUUUCUUUCAUUCAACUGUGUUGUAUCAGUUAUGCUGAUUCUUCUAUAGGGUAGUGGUUUUGGUCAGCUUUGGUAAACUUGCUACUUGUAAUCAGUGUGUGUGUGUGUGUGUGGGGGGGGGGGGGGUUAUCUGUGGUUUUUUUGUUUUAUUCUUUUGUUUGUCUGUCUUGUGUAUAUUGUAAUUGUGUGGGGUUGUCUUCCUCCCUUGUAGGAGCUGAGUUUCCUGAGGGGGGGUUCUUUGCUGCACCUUUCAGGCUUUUGUUGUGGAUAAAAAUGACAUGAAAUAAACACGAGGGAGAUUGAGUAUGAGUAAAAAUGUAAUUUUAUUGGUAAUUCACAGGACGGGUGGGUGCGUAGUCUGGAGGAGAGUAAGAGGGGGAGGAAAAUGGGGUGCGUCCUGGGGACAUGGGGAAAUCAGGGUGGGUGAAGUGAGCGGACCACUGAGAGUCGGGCGGACUGGUGGGUGAGAAGAGGGACGGAUGGUCG